AUUGAACGCUGGCGGCAUGCCUUACACAUGCAAGUCGAACGGCAGCAUGGAAGAGCUUGCUCUUCUGAUGGCGAGUGGCGAACGGGUGAGUAAAGCAUCGGAACGUACCGUGUAGUGGGGGAUAACGUAGCGAAAGUUACGCUAAUACCGCAUACGCACUGAGGUGGAAAGCAGGGGAUCGCAAGACCUUGCGCUAUACGAGCGGCCGAUGUCAGAUUGGCUAGUUGGUAGGGUAAAGGCCUACCAAGGCGACGAUCUGUAGCGGGUCUGAGAGGAUGAUCCGCCACACUGGGACUGAGACACGGCCCAGACUCCUACGGGAGGCAGCAGUGGGGAAUUUUGGACAAUGGGGGAAACCCUGAUCCAGCCAUGCCGCGUGAGUGAAGAAGGCCUUCGGGUUGUAAAGCUCUUUCGGCCGGGAAGAAAUCGCACAGGCUAAUACUCUGUGUGGAUGACGGUACCGGCAUAAGAAGCACCGGCUAACUACGUGCCAGCAGCCGCAGUAA
rnacentral:rRNA from 1 species